CCUACGGGUGGCAGCAGUGAGGAAUAUUGGUCAAUGGCCGCGAGGCUGAACCAGCCAAGUAGCGUGAAGGAUGACGGUCCUAUGGGUUGUAAACCUCUUUUGUCAGGGAACAAAGGGCGCCACGUGUGGCGUUUUGCGAGUACCUGAAGAAAAAGCAUCGGCUAACUCCGUGCCAGCAGCCGCGGUAAUACGGAGGAUGCGAGCGUUAUCCGGAUUUAUUGGGUUUAAAGGGAGCGUAGGCAGCAUGUCAAGCGUGCUGUGAAAUGUCCGGGCUCAACCCGGGCAUUGCAGCGGGAACUGGCGGGCUUGAGUACGCGGAAGGCAGGCGGAAUUCGUGGUGUAGCGGUGAAAUGCUUAGAUAUGACGAAGAACCCCGAUUGCGAAGGCAGCUUGCUGAAGCGGAACUGACGUUGAUGCUCGAAAGCGUGGGUAUCGAACAGGAUUAGAUACCCUGGUAGUC
rnacentral:rRNA from 1 species